rnacentral:rRNA from 1 species
AUUGAACGCUGGCGGCAUGCCUUACACAUGCAAGUCGAACGGUAACAGGUCUUCGGAUGCUGACGAGUGGCGAGCGGGUGAGUAAUACAUCGGAACGUGCCCAGUCGUGGGGGAUAACGAAGCGAAAGCUUUGCUAAUACCGCAUACGAUCUACGGAUGAAAGCGGGGGAUCGCAAGACCUCGCGCGAUUGGAGCGGCCAAUGGCAGAUUAGGUAGUUGGUGGGGUAAAGGCUUACCAAGCCUACGAUCUGUAGCUGGUCUGAGAGGACGACCAGCCACACUGGGACUGAGACACGGCCCAGACUCCUACGGGAGGCAGCAGUGGGGAAUUUUGGACAAUGGGCGCAAGCCUGAUCCAGCCAUGCCGCGUGCGGGAAGAAGGCCUUCGGAUUGUAAAGCCCUUUCGGUGGGGAAGAAAAGCCUCGACCUAACACGUCGGGGUGUUGACGUAACCCACAAAAGAAGCACCGGCUAACUCUGUGCCAGCCGCCGCCGUAA